rnacentral:rRNA from 1 species
AUGAACGCUAGCUACAGGCUUAACACAUGCAAGUCGAGGGGCAGCAUGGGAUUAGCUUGCUAAUCCUGAUGGCGACCGGCGCACGGGUGCGUAACGCGUAUCCAACCUGCCCUCUACUCCGGAACAGCCCGUCGAAAGGCGGAUUAAUGCCGGAUGGUGUCAGAUGCCCGCAUGGGCGUGUGACUAAAGGCAACGGUAGAGGAUGGGGAUGCGACUGAUUAGCUUGUUGGCGGGGUAACGGCCCACCAAGGCUACGAUCAGUAGGGGUUCUGAGAGGAAGGUCCCCCACAUUGGAACUGAGACACGGUCCAAACUCCUACGGGAGGCAGCAGUGAGGAAUAUUGGUCAAUGGGCGAGAGCCUGAACCAGCCAAGUAGCGUGCGGGACGACGGCCCUAUGGGUUGUAAACCGCUUUUGAUUGGGAACAAAGAGCGCCACGUGUGGUGCGUUGCGUGUACCUUUCGAAUAAGCAUCGGCUAAUUCCGUGCCAGCAGCCGCGGUAAUACGGAAGAUGCGAGCGUUAUCCGGAUUUAUUGGGUUUAAAGGGAGCGUAGGCGGGCUGUUAAGUCAGCGGUCAAAUGUCAGGGCCCAACCUUGGCAUGCCGUUGAUACUGGCGGCCUUGAGUUCACACAAGGAAGGUGGAAUUCGUCGUGUAGCGGUGAAAUGCUUAGAUAUGACGAAGAACUCCGAUUGCGAAGGCAGCCUUCUGGGGUGUUACUGACGCUGAGGCUCGAAAGUGCGGGAAUCAAACAGGAUUAGAUACCCUGGUAGUCCGCACCGUAAACGAUGAGCGCCCGUCAUUGGCGACACACAGUCAGUGACCAAGGGAAACCGUUAAGCGCUCCACCUGGGGAGUACGCCGGCAACGGUGAAACUCAAAGGAAUUGACGGGGGCCCGCACAAGCGGAGGAACAUGUGGUUUAAUUCGAUGAUACGCGAGGAACCUUACCCGGGCUUGAAAGUUAGCGACGAUUCUUGAAAGAGGAUUUCCCUUCGGGGCGCGAAACUAGGUGCUGCAUGGUUGUCGUCAGCUCGUGCCGUGAGGUGUCGGCUUAAGUGCCAUAACGAGCGCAACCCUCGCUGUCAGUUGCCAUCAGGUGAUGCUGGGCACUCUGGCGGGACUGCCAUCGCAAGAUGUGAGGAAGGUGGGGAUGACGUCAAAUCAGCACGGCCCUUACGUCCGGGGCUACACACGUGUUACAAUGGGGGGUACAGAGCGUUGCUUUCACGCGAGUGAUUGCGGACCGCAAAAACCCUUCUCAGUUCGGACUGGAGUCUGCAACCCGACUCCACGAAGCUGGAUUCGCUAGUAAUCGCGCAUCAGCCAUGGCGCGGUGAAUACGUUCCCGGGCCUUGUACACACCGCCCGUCAAGCCAUGAAAGCCGGGGGUGCCUGAAGUCCGUCACCGCAAGGGUCGGCCUAGGGCAAAACUGGUGAUUGGGGCU